rnacentral:rRNA from 1 species
CAGGCUUAGAUACCCUGGUAGUCCACCCCGUAAACGUUGGGAACUAGUUGUGGGGACCAUUCCACGGUUUCCGUGACGCAGCUAACGCAUUAAGUUCCCCGCCUGGGGAGUACGGCCGCAAGGCUAAAACUCAAAGGAAUUGACGGGGACCCGCACAAGCGGCGGAGCAUGCGGAUUAAUUCGAUGCAACGCGAAGAACCUUACCAAGGCUUGACAUAUACGAGAACGGGCCAGAAAUGGUCAACUCUUUGGACACUCGUAAACAGGUGGUGCAUGGUUGUCGUCAGCUCGUGUCGUGAGAUGUUGGGUUAAGUCCCGCAACGAGCGCAACCCUCGUUCUAUGUUGCCAGCACGUAAUGGUGGGAACUCAUGGGAUACUGCCGGGGUCAACUCGGAGGAAGGUGGGGAUGACGUCAAAUCAUCAUGCCCCUUAUGUCUUGGGCUUCACGCAUGCUACAAUGGCCGGUACAAAGGGCUGCAAUACCGUGAGGUGGAGCGAAUCCCAAAAAGCCGGUCCCAGUUCGGAUUGAGGUCUGCAACUCGACCUCAUGAAGUCGGAGUCGCUAGUAAUCGCAGAUCAGCAACGCUGCGGUGAAUACGUUCCCGGGUCUUGUACACACCGCCCGUCAAGUCAUGAAAG